rnacentral:rRNA from 1 species
UACGAAGGGGGCUAGCGUUGCUCGGAAUCACUGGGCGUAAAGGGUGCGUAGGCGGGCCUUUAAGUCAGGGGUGAAAUCCUGGAGCUCAACUCCGGAACUGCCUUUGAUACUGAAGAUCUUGAGUUCGGGAGAGGUGAGUGGAACUGCGAGUGUAGAGGUGAAAUUCGUAGAUAUUCGCAAGAACACCAGUGGCGAAGGCGGCUCACUGGCCCGAUACUGACGCUGAGGCACGAAAGCGUGGGGAGCAAACAGG